GACCCUCCAAACCCUCUUUGCAAGCAGCUUUGGCCGGCUGGCAGAGUCCCCUCUAAUAUUGGUUCACAGUUGCUGUUUAAAUACCUUAAAGAGAACUACGUGAUCUGUGUUGGAAGUGCUAACGCAGUCUGAGUGUGGCAAAGGAAAGUCAUCACUCUAGGGGUGAGGGCUGAGAAGCCUACCUGAAAAGCUUUAAGGUGAUGGUGCAUAAUGGGCCUUCAGUAUCUGUCUGUGUUAGCUCUUGUGCCACCACCUCCCGCUCCCUCAGGUGGGCCUGCUGAGAAUCCCUGCUGUUGAGAAGGAGAAGUUGAAAGUACCAUGGGCUGUAUGGGAAGAGGCAGGAGGGGUGUUGGUUAUGGAGAAUGGUGUGUGAGAUUUGUUUCAUAUGUUUUCAGACCAGACUACAGGACAUGAUUUUUGUUUUACUCGCACUGUUUUCUUGUCUGUUGUCCAAAGAGAAGUUAUGCCUUGACAAGACCAGUGGAAGUGCCUCUUGCACUAAAUUAGUGCACUAAAUUAGGAGGGAAAUGGCUCAGAUGUAAAUUAAGAGGAUGCUUCGCAUGGCAAAAGCAGUGUACACACAUGGCACUGGCACAGGACGGGGACAGGUCUGGUUCGAGGGCAGUGGAGAACCUUUGCAGCCAGCAGCUGCCGUUGCAGGUGGGAGCAGGCUGGCUCUGGAGCCGUGCAAUGUGUUGCAGACCUGAGGCUGCCUUGAGAAGCAGAAGCUUUCUGUAAAACAAAGAAGGACCAGAAGACCAUCGCCUCUGCGAUGCUGGGCAUGACAUUCCAGUGAGGCAGUCUGCUGCCUCAGGCAGUCUGCUUCCCCACGAUUUGGUGUCUCAGCAGACAAAGCCGGUGAGAUGGGGUGGAGGGGAGGUGGCCUUCUCCCGUGUCCUCUUGCUCCACCUCUGUGGUGUUGGGUGUUUGGGGAGCUUGGAAGUGAGACUGAGCCAUGG
rnacentral:lncRNA from 1 species